UGUUGGAUUGUUCACCCACCAA
rnacentral:snRNA from 1 species